AUGGUUCCCAGGGCAGGUGUGGGCGCGCAGAGCCGCUACGGGGAAGCGUGAGCGGAGUCCGCGGGACUCUGGGUCCGGCUUCGGGGCCCACGAACCCGCAGAGGCACCAUGGGCCGGAUCACGGAAGACCUGAUUCGACGGAAUGCCGAGCACAACGAGUGUGUGAUAUUUUCCCUGGAGGAGCUCUCCUUGCACCAGCAAGAAAUAGAGAGGCUGGAGCACAUCGACAAAUGGUGCCGCGAUUUAAAGAUCCUCUACCUUCAAAACAAUCUCAUCGGGAAGAUCGAAAAUGUCAGCAAACUCAAGAAACUCGAAUAUUUGAAUUUAGCUUUAAACAACAUUGAAAAAAUUGAAAAUCUGGAAGGAUGUGAGGGGCUGACAAAACUUGACCUGACAGUCAAUUUCAUCGGGGAGCUGAGCAGCGUGGAGACCCUCCGGGGCAACAUCCACCUGCGGGAGCUCUUUCUCGUGGGGAACCCGUGUGCCGACUUCGACGGCUACCGGCAGUUCGUGGUGGCGACUCUGCGGCAGUUGAAGUGGCUGGAUGGGAAAGAAAUAGAACGUUCCGAAAGGAUCCAGGCAUUGCAGGACUUCCCUGAAGUUGAGCGACAAGUCAGAGAGCAGGAGAAAGCCUACUGCCUCAGACGAGCCCGAGACAAGAGCGAGGCCCAGAGGAAACUUCGAGAAGAGCAGGAGCGCGGGGAGAAGGAAGGCCACCCAGGCUCGGACGGACGCUGGGACGCAAACGUCGCUGCGGAUCCCCCACCUUCUGUGGGGAGCAGAGACCACCCCCAGGCACCGGAAGUACAGGAAGGGGAACCCAACAAGAAGAAAGUAGACGACGUGGAAGAUGACCUGGAGUUCUGGAAUAAGCCCUGUUUGUUUACUCCUGAGUCUAGAUUGGAAACCCUUAGACAUAUGGAAAAACAACGAAAAGACAAAGAAAAAUUAAGCGAAAAGAAGAAGAAAGUGAAACCACCCAGGAUGUUGAUCACUGCAGAUGGGAGGGCCCUGAACGUGAACGAGCCCAAACUUGACUUCUCUUUGAAAGAUGAUGAGAAACGCAACCAGAUCAUCCUGGACCUGGCUGUGUACAGGUACAUGGAUACCUCUCUGAUCAAUGUUGACGUGCAGCCAACUUACGUGCGAGUAACGGUCAAGGGAAAGCCAUUUCAGCUCGUCCUUCCGGCAGAGGUCAAACCUGACAGCAGCUCUGCUAGAAGGUCUCAGACGACAGGGCACCUGGUCGUCUGCAUGCCCAAGGUGGGAGAAGUGAUCACAGGGGGCCCGCGAGCGCCCUUGUCUGUGCGGAGUACCUUGGACAGCAGCAGGGAGCACACAGGCGAAAGAAGCAGACAAACUGAGAAACUCGAGGUGGAUCCCAGCAAGCACUCGUUCCCCGACGUGGCUAACAUAGUCGGAGGGAAAACACCCGCACCCAGAAGAGUCCGACCCGAACCCAAAGUCAUGCCACAUGAGGAAGAUCCAGGUUUUGAAGAUGACCCGGAAGUGCCCCCGCUGAUCUGACACGUCAGGCUGCAGUGACUGGGACCCCCUCCCAGGACCCAGCUUUGCUCAGCGCGGAGAGUGUAUGCGUCUCGCUUGUGGGACACACACAGAGCUAUUUACCAACAUCACCACCCCAGUGUCGUAGCUCCCACUUGCUGCAGUAAUAUUUUUAACCCACUUUAAAAUGAACAGUGUACCUUAAAUGUGCUAUAACCCACUAUUUGUCUAGAAUAAAGUGUUUGCUAGUGGAAAUGAAUGUUCAGUAAAUCAUAGAACUAACCUAAUGCAAAUAUUCCUUAAACAACCAGAACACAUGGUGUUAUGGACCGAAUGUGUUCCCCACCCCCCAGUUCCCAUGUUGAAACCCUAAUCCCACUGAGGUCGUGUUUGGAGGUGGUUAGGUCAGAUGAGGUCAUGAGGAUGGGCCCCCUGGUGGGAUUAGUGUCCUUAGAAAAGAGGAACCCCAGCUCGAUUUCUCUCUCCCCCCUCUUCUCUCUCUUCACCUCGUGAGGAUGCUGAGAAGACAGCUGUCUGCACAUCAGGAAGGACUUCACAGGAACCGCACCAGCCGCACCUUGAACUUAGACGUCCAGCCUCCAGAACCCCAACAAGGGGCGUUCUAGGCAGACGGGCCCUGGUGUGAGCAUGUUUCUGGGACACUCAGCGGCGAGUCUCUCUGACCUCGUUGCCAGCGAAGGACAUUCACUUGCAGAGGUUACUACGUCUGACAUCCAAGACCAGCUGACGAGCCAGCACUUGAACCCAAAUCGGAAACCACCCUUCCGAGCAGAAUUCCUCUCCCGCUGAAGAAGGUUUUAGAUGUAAAAGAAAAUCCUCUGUCUGAGCCAGAUCCAGAGCAACCGCCUCCCACUCACUUGAAAAAAAAAAAAGGUGAAAUCCCACUUUGGAGCCUCUCGCUGGCUUCGAGCGCAGUCACGCGUCACAGCUCGCCCAGCGAAGUGUUUCUGGCAGGGACACCGGGGGACGGGUCCUCCUCCGGCCCGGGAACCCGCGUGCCUGUGCUUUUCCCACUGGCAGGACUGGGACCUGAGAGCCGGCGAAGACACCUGUGCAGGGAACCCGGGGAUGACACAGAAGCUCCAUCCGCCUCUCCCACCGAGUCCCUCCCACGGGCUGGGGAAUGGAUGGAUGGUCCCCAGGCCCGCAGCCAAGGGAAAGCGGGGCCGAGAGCCUGGCUCAGGCAGACGGGAGCCUCCAGAGAGGAGGAGAGGCCGGUCCCGCGGGCCUCUGCUGCCGCCACGCUGGCUGGAGAAAGAGCAGGAGACAGGCUCCUGGGGAAGGAGACGCAAGUCCCUAUGCGCCAUCCAUGGAGAGAGUAUGAAACGAUGCCUCCCCUGCACCCUUAGGAAGAGCAUGGAGUGUGACGUGGAAGAGAGGCGAGGAGUGAGCAUUACUCGGUGCUUCCUGGGUGCCGUCAGUGGUAAAGGUGCUGCAGCCGGGCCGUGUGCCAACACCAGCGCUGUCCCGCAGCCUCCCCUCCAGGACCUUCAUCGCCUCUGUCUCUUUGGACAGGGCAAGCUAUUUCCUGCC